rnacentral:rRNA from 1 species
CCAGCAGAAGAAGCACCGGCUAACUACGUGCCAGCAGCCGCGGUAAUACGUAGGGUGCGAGCGUUAAUCGGAAUUACUGGGCGUAAAGCGUGCGCAGGCGGUUAUGUAAGACAGAUGUGAAAUCCCCGGGCUCAACCUGGGAACUGCGUUUGUGACUGCAUAACUAGAGUACGGCAGAGGGAGGUGGAAUUCCACGUGUAGCAGUGAAAUGCGUAGAGAUGUGGAGGAACACCGAUGGCGAAGGCAGCCUCCUGGGCCAGUACUGACGCUCAUGCACGAAAGCGUGGGGAGCAAACAGGAUUAGAUACCCUGGUAGUCCACGCCCUAAACGAUGUCAACUAGUUGUUCGGUGAGGAGACUCAUUGAGUAACGCAGCUAACGCGUGAAGUUGACCGCCUGGGGAGUACGGUCGCAAGAUUAAAACUCAAAUGAAUUGACGGA